GUUUUAUUUACAAACAUUAGGCAAGAAGAAAGAAGGAAGGCCCUUAGACUUGGAACAGUUUCGGCCAGCUCUUAAAAGUAAACAUAAUUUAAGUGUAAAUUAAAGGCUUUAUGACAUUGUAAAUUAGGACAGCUGGAAGUAAUAGAAGAAGGAAGGAGGGAGAGAGGAGAAAUAAAGGACAGUGAUGAUAAGGAAGAAACAGGGGCAGGAAACGAAACAGAGGGGACAGAAGAGACGGAGACGGGAGAAGACACAGGCACGGGAGGGGAGACAGAGAGAGAGAAGGGAAAGAAAUUCAAAAAGAAAAGGAGACAACAUAGGGGUAAAGGGAAGCAGGGACGAGGUGGAGGGAGAGGAGCAGGAAGAGGAGGUGGCCAAAAAAGAGGGGGAGGUGGCCAAGGAAGAGGUGGAGGUGGCCAAGGAAGAGGG